rnacentral:rRNA from 1 species
GGAACUGAGACACGGUCCAGACUCCUACGGGAGGCAGCAGUGGGGAAUAUUGCACAAUGGGCGCAAGCCUGAUGCAGCCAUGCCGCGUGUAUGAAGAAGGCCUUCGGGUUGUAAAGUACUUUCAGCGGGGAGGAAGGUGUUGUGGUUAAUAACCGCAGCAAUUGACGUUACCCGCAGAAGAAGCACCGGCUAACUCCGUGCCAGCAGCCGCGGUAAUACGGAGGGUGCAAGCGUUAAUCGGAAUUACUGGGCGUAAAGCGCACGCAGGCGGUCUGUCAAGUCGGAUGUGAAAUCCCCGGGCUCAACCUGGGAACUGCAUUCGAAACUGGCAGGCUUGAGUCUUGUAGAGGGGGGUAGAAUUCCAGGUGUAGCGGUGAAAUGCGUAAAGAUCUGGAGGAAUACCGGUGGCGAAGGCGGCCCCCUGGACAAAGACUGACGCUCAGGUGCGAAAGCGUGGGGAGCAAACAGGAUUAAAUACCCUGGUAGUCCACGCCGUAAACGAUGUCUACUUGGAGGUUGUGCCCUUGAGGCGUGGCUUCCGGAGCUAACGCGUUAAGUAGACCGCCUGGGGAGUACGGCCGCAAGGUUAAAACUCAAAUGAAUUGACGGGGGCCCGCACAAG